rnacentral:rRNA from 1 species
UGAGCAAUCUGCCCUUCUCUUCGGAAUAAGCGUGGGAAACCGCGUCUAAUGCCGAAUACGACCUCCUUUCGCAUGAUCGGAGGUGGAAAGUUCCGGCGGAGAAGGAUGAGCUCGCGGCCUAUCAGCUUGUUGGUGGGGUAAUGGCCUACCAAGGCAACGACGGGUAGCUGGUCUGAGAGGAUGGCCAGCCACAGUUGGGACUGAGACACGGCCCAGACCUCCGUACGGGAGCAG